AAAAAUACGAAGAGGAUGAUAAGUAUUUUGGGCUCACACAAUAAACUGAUAAACAAGCCCACAAAGGCCCAGUCAUAUCCAUUGAGGUCGUAACAGCUUAAUCGGUGUUUAUUUUUCUUUCUCGUUCUCUCUCCCAAAAUCGCAGGUAAGCUUCUUCGAUUUCGCUUUUAGAUUUUUCGAAUUCAUCCUAUGAUUUCGUUUCUGCACCUUAGUUCUUUCCAAUUCUCGAGGUUUGUGUCAAUUUCAAACUACAGAAGCAUCUAAAUGUUUCGUUGAGUUGAUCGCUGUGAUGUAGAAGCCCUAAAUGUUUCGUCGAAUAGUUUGCAUAUUCUCAUAAUCGGCCCCGUAAUCUAUACUUGGUGAUGUUUUUGCCGAUCUCUGGUGUCUAUUUCAGGUUUUGCAGAAUUUCUAGGGUUUUGGUUUCGAAAAUCGUUUUAGUGUCUUAAUCACUAACGGUUAUUUACUUAGGGGGGUGUAUUGAAACCUGGAUUUUGAAAGAUUUGGGGUUUUUAUUAAAAUCUACUGUUAUUCAAUUUGUGAUUCUUAAAUCACUUUCUAAAUCCAGUGUUAUUGAAUCUAAUAUUUUUACAAAAUCACUUAAAAUAACUUACAAUCUCCUGUUAUUCAAUAAAGAAUUUACAAAAAUCAUAUGAAAUCCAGUGUUAUUCAAAAUUGACAAGUACUUUUAAAAAAAAAUACUGAACAAGGAUUUUAGAAGAUUUUGGAUACUUUUUUUAGUUGAAAAUAGGAACCUAAGACCAUGCCCAGUGGUGAUAUUUUCUGAGUAUCAGAAGCCCAGAAAAUAUUAUUUAAUGGACCAAACAACCUUUUUGGGCCUGAGCCGUAUCAUUGGACUGAUAUUUCUGAUACCCAGUAUCAAAUGAUGUGGCAUGUGAUGAUUGGCGUUGCAACGCGUUUUGGCUACAGAAAAAAAAAAAAAUUCAUUGCAUCUCUUCGAUCCAUUGCAUCUCUUCGAUCCUGCCUUCGGUCCCUCCGCUUCUCCUCACGCCGACGAUUUUGGCUCUCUCACGCCGGCGAUUACGAGCUUGUUCCCUGACGAGCUAAGGAUCAUUCAAGGAGGACCUAUGAAAAUGGGUCUAGAGAAAAGCUUUACGAACAUCUUUAAAGCACGUGAUUUUUACGGGAUUAAUUCUUUCCGUAUAUAGCAAUUAACUUUUUGAUCACUGUAGCAAGUAGUAACGGCUUGAAUCAUCUUUUUUUUCUGGUAUUUACGAACAUUGCAGCAUAAUGUAUAACAUAUAUUGCUGUGCAUGAUAAACCAUAUACCAUAUAUUGGAGUUCAAUAAGAAUUCCUUUUUUCGAGCAAGUAUUGUGCUUCGAUUCCUUUUGCAAAUUACUACUAUUAUAUGGAUUAUUUGAAUUCUAGUUUCAAAUAAUCUGCCAUAUAUGCACACAGCCAAGAUUCUCUUCUUGCCCUCUUCUGGAUUCUCUCAAUCUUUUGGAUGAGGUUUUGUCUUAGACUUGUUUUGGAAACUUUGUUGUAUUGUGUUACUUCUUGAGCAAAUAUAGUCUUCUAACAUUUGG